GACUGUUUAAUUAAAACAAAGCAUUGCGAUAGCUGGUGACUGGUGUUGACGCAAUGUAUUUUCUGCCCAAGUGCUCUGAAUGUCAAAGUGAAGUAAUUCAUCCAAGCGCGGGUAAACGGCGGGAGUGACUAUUAUUAAUUCGGGUGUCAGGCCGAAAAAGCGAACCAAU